rnacentral:tRNA from 1 species
GGGGAGGUGCCAGAGUGGACGAAUGGGCCCGCCUGCUAAGUGGGUAUACGGUCGUAAGUCCGUAUCGAAGGUUCGAAUCCUUUCCUUCCCG